ACCAGGGAGUGGAGAAAGGGGGAAAACCCUAGCUUGAUCAAUUAACAACAAAAUCCGUACGAUUAUGGAGGAUUCAUGUUACAAAUCGAAUGCUAGUGUCUAAAUACUCACUAAUCCAAGUGUUUUGAGCAUAAGGAUCGAAAGAAGAAGGAACUAGUUCCGGAUCACAAACAAAGGCACAAGAUCGAGUGAAGGAAGGAGUCCGUAUCGGUCCAUGUCGAAUGGGUCAGUUCGGGUUCGAGUGAGAAUGAAUUUAGGGGAAGUUUUCUCCAUGAUCCGUACUAAACGGGUUAAUGGAAGUGAAUGAGAAAUAGUUAUGCCAAAUCGACUAGAAUGAAUUGGGAAAAGAAAUAAGAAUGAUUGGUAAAGCACAAGUAUAAAGUCAUCGCGUCGCUCGGAUACGAACACACGUUGAUCACCCGUGAUGCGCUUCCGCAACUUUUGUAGUAACCUUAUUAGUUAAAAGCUCUUGUUAAACUUAGUGGUGUUGAAGUUUUGAACUUUAACUAGAUGUUUGUGAAUAUUUAAGUAUCUUAAACUUGAUGUUUUGAAACGGUAGUUUAAAUGUUAAGGUCCUUCUUAUGUUUU